UUUUUGAUUAUAUGGACACAAGCUAUCAUGACUUUAUCAAUAAUAAGUUUGCCUCGUACAAAAGCACUCUCGAUUGGAGAUAUAGGCCCAGUUCUUUUCGCUCAAUUCUGGCGAUUUGAAGUUUGAAAAAUCAAAAGCGUAAAAGAACUCAAUUUGAUUGUCUAAAAUCAUCUAAGAAUAGCUAGAAUCGGUAGUGCAAUCAAAAAUCAACUCGAAACCUUACUUCUCGCGAUUCUGGGUCAUCCAGCAAAAUAAAACGGUUCAGUUUAAGAUACUAGCCCUAUUUAAAAUGCAGCUUACAAGAGAACUGCCACAUGUGGCCACCCACACCCACGAAAACGAGUCGUGUGACUCAUUCCUCCCGAUCCCCACCUCCCCACUCACCCUCGCAGUAGGGUUCCAGGGUCGCUGUUGCCGCCGUCGUGCGCCGCCCAAGAGUCCUCCCCGGCCGCUCCUUCACCCCGCCCGAAGUCGACCCUCCGACCCGCUCCUCCGCUCUGCCCGCUCGCCUCCAGGGCCAAAGUCGUUGCUCCGCCCUGUCCGCUCACCUCCUGUCCCGCAAUAGUUGCUCCGCCCCGC
rnacentral:lncRNA from 1 species